rnacentral:tRNA from 1 species
GACCGCGUAGCUCAGUGGCAGAGCAUUGGGCUAGUAUUCCAAAGGUCGUAGGUUCGAUUCCCACCGUGGCCG